GGAGUCUGGGCCGUGUCUCAGUCCCAAUGUGGCUGAUCAUCCUCUCAGACCAGCUAGAGAUCGUCGCCUAGGUGAGCCUUUACCUCACCUACUAGCUAAUCCCGUUUGGGCACAUCUGAUAGCGCAUUGCUGCUUUCACUCUCAGGCUUUAUGCGGUAUUAGCAGUCGUUUCCAACUGUUGUCCCCCUCUAUCAGGUAGUUUCCCAGUCCUUACUCACCCGUCCGCCACUCGUCAGCAGAGAUGGUUGCCCCAUCCCCCUGUUACCGUUCGACUUGCAUGUAUUAGGCCUGCCGCCAGCGUUCAAUCUGAGCCAGGAUCAAAACUCU
rnacentral:rRNA from 1 species